rnacentral:rRNA from 1 species
GACGAACGCUGGCGGCGUGCUUAACACAUGCAAGUCGAACGGAAAGGCCCUGCUUGCAGGGUACUCGAGUGGCGAACGGGUGAGUAACACGUGGGUGAUCUGCCCUGCACUUCGGGAUAAGCUUGGGAAACUGGGUCUAAUACCGGAUAGGAGCCAUCUUUAGUGUGGUGGUUGGAAAGUUUUUUCGGUGUAGGAUGAGCUCGCGGCCUAUCAGCUUGUUGGUGGGGUAAUGGCCUACCAAGGCGGCGACGGGUAGCCGGCCUGAGCGGGUGUACGGCCACAUUGGGACUGAGAUACGGCCCAGACUCCUACGGGAGGCAGCAGUGGGGAAUAUUGCACAAUGGGCGCAAGCCUGAUGCAGCGACGCCGCGUGGGGGAUGAAGGCCUUCGGGUUGUAAACUCCUUUCGCUAGGGACGAAGCUUUUUGUGACGGUACCUAGAUAAGAAGCACCGGCUAACUACGUG